ACCCGGGUGGCUCAGUCGGUUGAGCGUCCGACUUCGGCUCAGGUCACGAUCUCACGGUCUGUGGGUUCGAGCCCCGCAUCGGGCU
rfam:Felis catus isolate Cinnamon breed Abyssinian chromosome A2, whole genome shotgun sequence.